rnacentral:rRNA from 1 species
GUCCACGCCGUAAACUAUGGGUGCUAGCCGUUGGGAAGCUUGCUUUUCAGUGGCGCAGCUAACGCAUUAAGCACCCCGCCUGGGGAGUACGGUCGCAAGAUUAAAACUCAAAGGAAUUGACGGGGGCCCCGGCACAAGCGGUGGAGCAUGUGGUUUAAUUCGAAGCAACGCGCAGAACCUUACCUACCCUUGACAUGUCUAGUAUGGGCACCGGAGACGGAGUCCUUCAGUUCGGCUGGCUAGAACACAGGUGCUGCAUGGCUGUCGU